rnacentral:rRNA from 1 species
GUUUUCGGAUGGAAUCUUGAUUGACUGAGUGGCGGACGGGUGAGUAACGCGUGGAUAACCUGCCUCACACUGGGGGAUAACAGUUAGAAAUGACUGCUAAUACCGCAUAAGCGCACAGUGCCGCAUGGCAGUGUGUGAAAAACUCCGGUGGUGUGAGAUGGAUCCGCGUCUGAUUAGCCAGUUGGCGGGGUAACGGCCCACCAAAGCGACGAUCAGUAGCCGACCUGAGAGGGUGACCGGCCACAUUGGGACUGAGACACGGCCCAAACUCCUACGGGAGGCAGCAGUGGGGAAUAUUGCACAAUGGGCGAAAGCCUGAUGCAGCGACGCCGCGUGAGUGAAGAAGUAUUUCGGUAUGUAAAGCUCUAUCAGCAGGGAAGAAAAUGACGGUACCUGACUAAGAAGCCCCGGCUAACUACGUGCCAGCAGCCGCGGUAAUACGUAGGGGGCAAGCGUUAUCCGGAUUUACUGGGUGUAAAGGGAGCGUAGACGGCGAAGCAAGUCUGAAGUGAAAACCCAGGGCUCAACCCUGGGACUGCUUUGGAAACUGUUUUGCUAGAGUGUCGGAGAGGUAAGUGGAAUUCCUAGUGUAGCGGUGAAAUGCGUAGAUAUUAGGAGGAACACCAGUGGCGAAGGCGGCUUACUGGACGA